UUUUUUUUUUUUUUUGCUUUCCUAUAUAUACCUUUCUAUAUUAUUUCAUUUUCUAAAAUUAACAUAUUUUUGUAAAUAGAGUUACUGAUGAUGGAUGAACAGUUGAUAGGUAGAAUGGAAGGAGGGAAGAGAGGCAGGAUACCUGAUUGCUUCAGGGUAAGUCUUAUAGGUAGCCAAUUCUACAAUGAAGUUACAGAAAAGUAUAGAAUCUACUCUUCAGCUGUAGAGAUUCCCAAAAUCAACUUUGCUAUUCAUCCAGUGAAGAUCAGAUUGUAGGGAACUGAUGGAAGCUACAUGAAACUGCAUUCAUAUGUAGCUACGUAUGAAGCUAUACACCUUCACACACACUAAUAAACCAGAAUGGGUAUGAGUGAGCUGAUUCUUUUGCCAACAGGAAAACACAAAUUAGAAAUACUCUUUCAUUGGAACAUUGCUUGAUAAAUGAAAACUACAAUGAGAUACCAAUACAUACUCACAAAAAUAACUAAUGUUACAAAGACUGGCAAUACUAAGUGUUGACGAGGAUAUGAAUCAACUAAAACUUUAAUACAUUGUUAGUAGGAGUGCAGAAAUGGCACAGCCUCUCUGUAAAACAGUUUGACAGCACCCUAUAAAGUUAAACACACUGUACCUUAUGACCCAGCAAUUCCAGUCCUAGGUAUUUACUCCAGAGAAAUAAAUACAUAUUUCCACGUAAAAAAAAAAUGUGUACGUGAAUAUUCACAACAGCAUUAUUUAUAAUAGCUGAAAACCAAAGGAACCCAAAUCUCCAUUAUAGGUGAGUGGAUAAACAAAUGGUAUAUUUAUAUCAUGGAAUACUGCUCAGAAAUGUACACGACAACAUGGAUGAAUUUUAAAAGCAUGCUAAGUGAAAGAAGUCAAACACAAGACUGCAUUAAGUAUGAUUUUGUUUAUAUGGAAUUCUAGAAAAGGCAAAGCUACCAGUGAUGGAAUGGGGAUCAGUGUUGCCUGGGGUCAGGGAUGAGGAAAGACCUUGAGGAAACUUUAGAAUGAAGGUGCUGUUCUACAUAUUGCUAAUAGCAGUAGUUAUAUGAUAGUAAGCAAUUACCAAAAUUCGUCAAACUAUUCACUUAAAAUUGGUUAAAAAUUUUAUAUGAAAUUAAUGUCUUAAAUUGUCAGUAAGUUAUUGGUAAGGUAGAGCCAGUUUUUAUUAUUCGAUAAAUGACAUUCUAUUAAUUCACUUUCUCAAAAUAAGUAUAUGUAUAUAUACUAUAGGAAUUAAACUUUGAAGGAGACUGUAGCCGUUGGUGGGACAUCCUUUUCUUUCAUUCUUCUUCCCAAACAAUGGGGGUUCUGGAAUUCUAUAUCCAAGACAUUUUAAGAGUCAUUUAAAAGACAAGAGGACUUGUCUUAAAUCUGCAUUUGUAUGGUAAGCAUACUCUUAUUUAAGUUGUGAGUUUGAGGAUCUUAUUAGACAUUUUAGAGGAGCUAAAGCCUCCAAAACCAUCUUUAGUUGCAUUUACAUUUCCAAAUACUGUAUUGAUUUCAGGCACUAGUCAGCUAUAAUGUCUGAAAGAAAAUUUGCAUUAAUCAUUAAUAUUAUCAGCAACAUAUUUUAAAACUUUGCCUUAAGGGUAAGAUUUUACUUCUGCAGAUAGCUAUUUCUUCAUUGUUCUGUUUUACUAUAUUCAAUUUUGUAGAGAAAGAUAAUGGUACCGUAAUGUUGAUUUUAUUUCCAAAUUCUGACAACCCUUUACAGGUAGACUCUUUAUCCCUUUACAGUCUCCAUGUGUAUAUUCAACAAUUUAAAACAUAAUCCAACUCAGUUUUUAGCCUAUGUCCUUUUUGUGGACUUCUGACUAUAUCAAAGUUUGAAAACCUAUUCCAUUGUUUUCCUAAAAGUAUGUUCUGGAGUUGGGCAUACCUGAGUUUGAAUUCUGGUUCUGAGAUAGUCAUUUGUAAUUUUGGCAAGGUGUUCUUUCUUCAUCUGUAAAAUAGAGAUAACCAUGCUUACCUUAUAGAAUAAAGAUGAAGUAUAUAUAAAUGUACUGGUCCCAGUAUCUAUCACAUGCAAACUCCUAGCAAAUACUACAAAUAUAGAACAAGGAUUUAUAGCUAAUAAACCAUAAAAGAAUGAAUAUGGAUUGCUACAAAAAAAUAUUCAGUCCAGGGGUGCCUGGGUGGCUCACUCAGUUAAGUGUCUGCCUUCAGUUCAGGUCAUGAUCUAGGGUCCUGGGAUUGAGCCCUGUGUCUGGCUCCCUGUUCAGCGGAGAGUCUACUUUUCCUUCAUCCCCUACCACUCCCCCUGUUUGUUCUCUCUCUCUCUGUCUCUCUUAAAUAAAUAGAAUCUUAAAAAAAAAAAAAAAAACAAAAAAAACAAAAAAAACAACUCAGUCCAAAAGAAGGCAAGGAUAAAAGAGAGGAAAAGGCAAAGAAAAAAAAA
rnacentral:lncRNA from 1 species